rnacentral:tRNA from 1 species
GCUUGGGUGGCUCAGUUGGUUAGAGCGCAGGUCUCAUAAUCCUGAGGUCAUGAGUUCGAAACUCAUCCCGAGCA